GGCCCCAUCGUCUAGUGGACUAGGACAACGGGUUUUCAUCCCGUAAACCGGGGUUCGAUUCCCCGUGGGGUCA
rnacentral:tRNA from 1 species